rnacentral:rRNA from 1 species
GGGUCCGGACACACUGAGGAUUGACAGAUAUACGCUCAUUGCAGUGCUUCGGCGCCGCAUUUGAGCUGAAAGAUGCUAGUCCUUUCAUGAUUAUGUGAUAGGUGGUGCAUGGCCGUUCUUAGUUCGUGGAGUGAUCUGUCUGCUUAAUUGCGUAUCAAUAAUAGAGACCUAGUAUACGCGCGGAUUUCGUGUGGUAGUGACCCCCUGUUCGCAGGCGUGUGUCGCACACGCGUGCCGCGCACUGGUCUCAGAUAGCAACGAACGUGACCGUAUUCUAUUGUUGCAGUGAAUAUGUGUGCCUUCGGGCAUACGACCCACUGCUUAGUGUAUGUACGUGCUUCGGUGCGCACAAUACACAUUAAACUAUAGAGACCGCUGUUUCUUCUUUAAACCAGAGGAAGGAUACGGCAAUAACAGGUCUGUGAUGCCCUCAGAUGUUCCGGGCUGCACACGUGCUACAAUGAUCAUUGCACUGUGCAUCUAACCCAAUGUGCGUGGACGCCGCAUGUAUGUACUCCUUGUGGGUACACGCAUUGCUGAGCGACCACGCCGAACCUACUUCGGAAGUAAAAUUUCUCUGUGGGU